CCCCAUUCCUUUGCUUCACUCUGAAAAAGUCCCAGAGAGAGAAACUGUGUUUUGAGAGAGAGAGAGAGAGAGCUUGGGUAGGAGAAUAGCUUUGGAGAGGUGGUCUUCAUUUCUGUUACUGCAGCAUCAGGGAAAGGCAAGUGGGGUGUGCGUAUCUUCUCAAACUCAAAGUUAGCUGAUCAUCUGAACAAUGGAGCAGAUCUGUGCUCUUCCACGUGGUCUGAAGGCUGAACAACUAGAACCAGUUACAAACCUUGAACUCUUGAACAUGGGUAGGAUGUGGAUCUAACAAAAUCAGUUGGUUUUUGCUAACCACGUUAAAGCGUAACUCUGUCCUGCUGUAGCAUUGUCAGUAAUAUCUUGUCUGAUAUUGUUGAAGGAAAGUCCUAUUUGGUUGAAAUGGCUUGGAGUCAGAAGUCUGGUGUUUACUUCUGCCUAUCUGUAUCUGCUUUUUCUGAUAGUGUUACCUGAAGAAGAAUCUUUAGCAGCCAAAUCAAGGGGUGUCUGCUAACCACAAUAAAAUGACUAGCCUGCUGUUCAAUUUGCUCCUCUGUUAUUGCGAAAGAAAGAUCCUGUUUGGUUGAAAGUGCUUGAAGUCCAGAGGUGUCAGGCAUUGAUCCACUAAUAAUUAACUUUCUGCCUUCUGAUAAUAACUAGUCAUUUGUGCCUUGCUGCCGAUAUCGUUUUCAUGUCAUUCAGAAAGGCUACACAUGCUGAAGGCAAGGUGAAUGGCAGUGACCAGAAAAAGUCAGGUCUCUAGCUGUAGCUUAGCCCAAUUUCGUUUCAGGCAAUGUCAGUGCGAUCGGUUGUGGUGAAUUAUAGGAGUCAUCAUACGAGUCAAAGAUGAUUUCCACUGAAAUGUCCUCUUGGAAAACGAUCAACAUUUGUAUCUGAUAUUGAUCACUCGGGGAAUGCAUCUUUGUCAAUUGUGUAUGGCUAUGGAGAUCUAUUGCAACAAAGCUCCCUUGAGAGCUUCCUGUUCCACUUGGUCAGUGGCUAAGGAGGCAUGCCUCACCACAAUCUGAUUGGAGUGUUGUAUGGAUUGAAAGAAACAACAAUCUCAAGGCAAAAAUAGGAACAUACUAGCCUAAACAUAGAUGCAUUUCUUUGUUAGCAUUUUGGUGCGAAUUCAGCUUUGUACAUGAUGCAGAUGCAAUGAUUGAGAUCCGAUAGGGUGUUUGCAGUCUGUAAUUUCCUACAUAGCACUGGCAGUGUGCGAGUUUUCCAUUUAUAGAACAUUUCUCAUUACUUAUUAAAAAGUGCUUCUUUGUCAAUAUCAGCUAGUUUCAUCUGAUUGGCUGGUGAUCUGAGGCUGCUCUCAUGUUUAUGUACGUUUCUCCUUGAGUUAUUCUUCCAUUUUUGGUUCUAACCUGAAUAUUGUAGUAUCUGCUGGCUUUUCAUAGUGAUGGAAACAAAAUACUUGAAGGAAGAAUAAAGGAGUUCAUCAAUUAUAAUUGCUAGUUAUGCCCCUCA